UACGGAGGGUGCGAGCGUUGUUCGGAAUUAUUGGGCGUAAAGGGCGUGCAGGCGGUUUCCUAAGUCUGAUGUGAAAGCCCCGGGCUUACCCCGGGAAGUGCAUUGGAAACUGGGAGACUUGAGUACGGGAGAGGAGAGCGGAAUUCCUGGUGUAGGGGUGAAAUCCGCAGAUAUCAGGAAGAACACCGGUGGCGAAGGCGGCUCUCUGGACCGCUACUGACGCUGAGACGCGAAAGCAUGGGGAGCAAACAGG
rnacentral:rRNA from 1 species